rnacentral:rRNA from 1 species
GUGAGUAACACGUGGAUAACCUACCUAUAAGACUGGGAUAACUUCGGGAAACCGGAGCUAAUACCGGAUAAUAUUUUGAACCGCAUGGUUCAAAAGUGAAAGACGGUCUUGCUGUCACUUAUAGAUGGAUCCGCGCUGCAUUAGCUAGUUGGUAAGGUAACGGCUCACCAAGGCAACGAUGCAUAGCCGACCUGAGAGGGUGAUCGGCCACACUGGAACUGAGACACGGUCCAG